GAAUUCGCCCUUAGAGUUUGAUCCUGGCUCAGGAUGAACGCUGGCGGCGUGCUUAACACAUGCAAGUCGAACGAUUGAAGCUGGAGCUUGCUCCGGCCGAUUUAGUGGCGGACGGGUGAGUAACGCGUGGGUAACCUGCCUCAUACAGGGGGAUAGCAGUUGGAAACGACUGGUAAAACCGCAUAAGCGCACGGUGUCGCAUGACACAGUGUGAAAACACUCCGGUGGUAUGAGAUGGACCCGCGUCUGAUUAGCUAGUUGGUGAGGUAACGGCCCACCAAGGCGACGAUCAGUAGCCGGCCUGAGAGGGUGAACGGCCACAUUGGGACUGAGACACGGCCCAAACUCCUACGGGAGGCAGCAGUGGGGAAUAUUGCACAAUGGGGGAAACCCUGAUGCAGCGACGCCGCGUGAGUGAUGAAGUAUUUCGGUAUGUAAAGCUCUAUCAGCAGGGAAGAUAAUGACGGUACCUGACUAAGAAGCACCGGCUAAAUACGUGCCAGCAGCCGCGGUAAUACGUAUGGUGCAAGCGUUAUCCGGAUUUACUGGGUGUAAAGGGUGCGUAGGUGGCAAGGCAAGUCUGAAGUGAAAAUCCGGGGCUCAACCCCGGAACUGCUUUGGAAACUGUUUAGCUGGAGUACAGGAGAGGUAAGUGGAAUUCCUAGUGUAGCGGUGGAAUGCGUAGAUAUCGGGAGGAACACCAGUGGCGAAGGCGACCUACUGGGCACCAACUGACGCUGAGGCUCGAAAGCAUGGGUAGCAAACAGGAUUAGAUACCCUGGUAGUCCAUGCCGUAAACGAUGAUUACUAGGUGUUGGAGGAUUGACCCCUUCAGUGCCGCAGUUAACACAAUAAGUAAUCCACCUGGGGAGUACGACCGCAAGGUUGAAACUCAAAGGAAUUGACGGGGGCCCGCACAAGCAGUGGAGUAUGUGGUUUAAUUCGAAGCAACGCGAAGAACCUUACCAGGUCUUGACAUCCGAUGCAUAGCUUAGAGAUAAGUGAAGUCCUUCGGGACAUCGAGACAGGUGGUGCAUGGUUGUCGUCAGCUCGUGUCGUGAGAUGUUGGGUUAAGUCCCGCAACGAGCGCAACCCUUAUUGCCAGUUACUACGCAAGAGGACUCUGGCGAGACUGCCGUUGACAAAACGGAGGAAGGUGGGGAUGACGUCAAAUCAUCAUGCCCUUUAUGACCUGGGCUACACACGUACUACAAUGGCGUUUAACAAAGAGAAGCAAGACCGCGAGGUGGAGCAAAACUCAAAAACAACGUCUCAGUUCAGAUUGCAGGCUGCAACUCGCCUGCAUGAAGUCGGAAUUGCUAGUAAUCGCGGAUCAGCAUGCCGCGGUGAAUACGUUCCCGGGCCUUGCACUCACCGCCCGUCA
rnacentral:rRNA from 1 species